AAGCAUAUCACUAAGCGGAGGAAAAGAAAUUAACUAAGAUUGCCUCAGUAGCGGCGAGCGAACAGGCAAAAGCUCAAGCCUUGAAUCUGAAGUGUUGUGCUUCAGAAUUGUAGUCUAAAGCGGCGGACAGAAGACAUGGAGUUUGUGUAACUCUCCUGGAAAGGAGGGCCGUAGAGGGUGAAAGCCCCGUUCCGCAAUGCUCCGGUUGUAUGUCUGUUAGCAUAGAGUCGGGUUGUUUGGGAUUGCAGCCCUAAGUGGGAGAUAAACUUCUUCUAAGGCUAAAUAUGGAUGGGAAACCGAUAGCGAACAAGUACUGUGAAGGAAAGAUGAAAAGAACUUUGGAAAGAGAGUUAAAAGGCUUGAAAUCGUUGAGAAGGAAGCGGUAGAAGAGUAUCAUAUUGGGGUGGACGUAAGGCUGGUGAGUGCCGGUGUGUGUGUGGUGUGGUACGUUAAAGGCCUACUAUACAUGUCACGACGGUGCUCUCGCUGUCUUCCAUCCCGAUUGCAAGAUGGGGUUUGAUUAUCAUGAUGGAGACGUUGUGUGGAAGGUCGCCUUCGGGCAGUCUAUACAAACUACAUCAUGACAAGCCUGAGGGUGCUACGGCGAUCUUGCUAAGAUGGCUUCUACCGACCCGUCUUGAAACACGGACCAAGGAGUCUAACACGUGCGCGAGUGUGCGAGUGUACUAAACUCAUACGCGUAAUGAAAGUGAGUAUAAGAUGUGAAGGUGUAUUCUUUAUAUGCCUGCAACAUCAACCGGCCAUGAUCUUCUGUGAGAGGUCUGAGUAAGAGCGUACUUGUUAGGACCCGAAAGAUGGUGAACUAUACUUGAGUAGGGUGAAGUCAGGGGAAACUCUGAUGGAAGCUCGCAGCGGUACUGACGUGCAAAUCGUUCGUCAAACUUGAGUAUAGGGGCGAAAGACUAAUCGAACCAUCUAGUAGCUGGUUCCCUCUGAAGUUUCUCUCAGGAUAGCAAGAGCAUGUAUACAGUUUUAUUAGGUAAAGCGAAUGAUUAGAGGAAUCGGAGGUACAAUACCUUCGACCUAUUCUCAAACUUUAAAUUGGUAAGCACCAUUAGUUUUCUUAAUUGAACUAAUGGGUUGAAUGUAGUGCUUUUAGUGGGCCAUUUUUGGUAAGCAGAACUGGCGAUGAGGGAUGAACCUAACGUGGAGUUAAGGUGCCCAAAUUCUCGCUCAUCAGAUACCAUAAAAGGUGUUGAUUCAUAUAGACAGCAGGACGGUGGCCAUGGAAGUCGGAAUCCGCUAAGGAGUGUGUAACAACUCACCUGCCGAAUGAAUUAGCCCUGAAAAUGGAUGGCGCUGCAGCGAGAUACCAAUACUCCACCAUUGAUGUGUGUGUAACAUCAAUGAGUAAGAGGGCGUGGGUGCUGUUUAGAAGCCAUUGGUGUGGACCUAGGUGGAACAGUAUCUAGUGCAGAUCUUGGUGGUAGUAGCAAAUAUUCAAAUGAGAACUUUGAAGACCGAAGUGGAGAAGGGUUCCAUGACAACUGCAUUUGGUCAUGGGUUAUUCGAUCCUAAGACAUAGGGAAACUCCUUUGUACAUUGUGUGCUUAUUCACACAUAGUCAAAAGGGAAUGAGGUUAAUAUUCCUCAAACUGGAUGUGGAUAUUGUAUGGUAACAUAAGUGAGCUCGAAAACGUCGGCGUGUACCCCUGGAAGAGUUCUCUUUUCUUCUUUACAGAUAUGAGGCCUUGAAAUUGGAUUAUCCAGAGAGAAGGCUUCUUGUCUGGUAGAGCAUCUCACUAUAUGAGGUGUCAGGUGCGUUCACGACGAUCCUUGAAAAUUCGAGUGAGGGUUUUAUUUGCACACCAGAUCGUACCAAUAACCGCAUCAGGUCUCCAAGGUU
rnacentral:rRNA from 1 species